rnacentral:tRNA from 1 species
UGGCCCGUAGCUCAGCGGUGAGAGCGCCUGCCCCACGCGCAGGAUGUCCUGGGUUCAAGUCCCAGCGGGCCGA